GAUGGUUUACUAAAUGGCCGCAGUAUACUGACUGUGCAAAGGUAGCAUAAUAAAUAGUCUUUUAAUUGGAGGCUGGUAUGAAUGAUGGGACGUGAUGGAUGCUGUCUUUAUGGUAGGUUGUUGAGAUUUACUUUUUGAUGAAAAGGUUAAAAUUUGGCUGGUAGACGAGAAGACCCUAUUAAGCUUUAUUAGAAAAGUGGUUUUAUUUGUUUGAUUUGUGGGUGAAUUGCUAUUUUUAAUUUUGUUGGGGCAAUGUUUUAAUAUUGAGAAAUUUUUUAUGAUUUAAAUUUAGUAUGAUCCAUUAUUAGUGAUUGAGAGAAUAAGUUACUGUAGGGAUAACAGCGUGAUUGACUUGGAGAGCUCAUAUUGGUAAGUUAGGUUGCGACCUCGAUGUUGGUUUAGUGAAUCUUUAGGGUGCAGUGGCUUUAGGAGAG
rnacentral:rRNA from 1 species